CAGCCGCCGCGGGAAUACGGAGGGGGCUAGCGUUGUUCGGAAUUACUGGGCGUAAAGCGCACGUAGGCGGCUUGGUAAGUUAGAGGUGAAAGCCUGGAGCUCAACUCCAGAAUUGCCUUUAAGACUGCCGAGCUAGUAGGUGAGAGAGGUAAGUGGAAUUCCGAGUGUAGAGGUGAAAUUCGUAGAUAUUCGGAAGAACACCAGUGGCGAAGGCGGCUUACUGGCUCAUUCUAGACGCUGAGGUGCAAAAGCGUGGGGAGCAAACAGGAUUAGAUACCCCAGUAGUCCCUGUCUCUUAUAC
rnacentral:rRNA from 1 species